rnacentral:miRNA from 1 species
GGGGGUCUGAAAGAUCUCGCUGGGGCCUCCAAAAUGUUGUGUCUCACACAGCUGAGAGAAAGUCGGAACCCACUUUUGAUACAAUAAUCAAUAGGAAUUUAUUA